rnacentral:rRNA from 1 species
GACGAACGCUGGCGGCGUGCCUCAGACAUGCAAGUCGAACGAUUAAAGCUCCCGUUCGGGGAGUGCAUAAAGUGGCGCACGGGUGAGUAACACGUAAGUAAUCUACCUUCGAGUGGGGAAUAACGUUCGGAACGAACGCUAAUACCGCAUAAUGCAGCGGCAUCUAUGGAUGACAGUUGUUAAAGNUUUUAUCGCUUGAAGAGGAGCUUGCGGCAGUAUUAGCUAGNGGUAA